GACGAACGCUGGCGGCGUGCUUAACACAUGCAAGUCGAACGGAAGGCCCUGCUUUUGUGGGGUGCUCGCGUGGCGAACGGGUGAGUAACACGUGAGUAACCUGCCCUUGACUUUGGGAUAACUUCAGGAAACUGGGGCUAAUACCGGAUAGGAGCUCCUGCUGCAUGGUGGGGGUUGGAAAGUUUCGGCGGUUGGGGAUGGACUCGCGGCUUAUCAGCUUGUUGGUGGGGUAGUGGCUUACCAAGGCUUUGACGGGUAGCCGGCCUGAGAGGGUGACCGGCCACAUUGGGACUGAGAUACGGCCCAGACUCCUACGGGAGGCAGCAGUGGGGAAUAUUGCACAAUGGGCGGAAGCCUGAUGCAGCAACGCCGCGUGCGGGAUGACGGCCUUCGGGUUGUAAACCGCUUUCGCCUGUGACGAAGCGUGAGUGACGGUAAUGGGUAAAGAAGCACCGGCUAACUACGUG
rnacentral:rRNA from 1 species